GACGAACGCUGGCGGCGUGCUUAACACAUGCAAGUCGAACGGAAAGGCCCUGCUUUUGUGGGGUGCUCGAGUGGCGAACGGGUGAGUAACACGUGAGUAACCUGCCCUUGACUUUGGGAUAACUUCAGGAAACUGGGGCUAAUACCGGAUAGGAGCUCCUGCUGCAUGGUGGGGGUUGGAAAGUUUCGGCGGUUGGGGAUGGACUCGCGGCUUAUCAGCUUGUUGGUGGGGUAGUGGCUUACCAAGGCUUUGACGGGUAGCCGGCCUGAGAGGGUGACCGGCCCCAUUGGGACUGAGAUACGGCCCAGACUCCUACGGGAGGCAGCAGUGGGGAAUAUUGCACAAUGGGCGGAAGCCUGAUGCAGCCACGCCGCGUGCGGGAUGACGGCCUUCGGGUUGUAAACCACUUUCGCCUGUGACGAAGCGUGAGUGACGGUAAUGGGUAAAGAAGCACCGGCUAACUACGUG
rnacentral:rRNA from 1 species